GGAGAGAAAGAGCAAUGAAAUUCAGCAAAGAGAGAAGUCAAACCAGGACCAGCCCUGUUGUCUUUUUCACUUUAAACCCCAAGGCUGGAUACAAAACCCACCAACUAAGACAAUUAAAAGAUACAUCAAAUAGAUGCUAAAUAGCUUUAAGAAUUACAUCAUCAAGACACUCAUGAUCUUGUAUUGAAGACAUACUUGUGCCUAAAAAAUUCUCUCGGUUCAGUGUUUUUGAGAUCAAAAAAGAACACUGAAGAGUUCUUUAAGGAAGGGAAUAACAGGGUUGUUGAUUUUUACUGUUACCACAGGAAUCACAAGCUACACUAUGCUUACCCUGCUAGCUGUAGAUUGUUAAAUGAAUGAAAGAGAAAGGCCAUAAACUGGACAAAAGCUAAAGAGAUCAACCAUUAUUUCUGUGAACAAAAAAGACCACAAAUUCACACUCUCCAUUCAUACUACUGCUUAAUUGAUGCAUGCAGGUAAAAGGAGGCCAAACAAAAAACAAAAAAUAAAAUAAUAAAAUAAAAUAAAAUAAAAAGGCCUCUCUAACACAUUUACACAGAAAUUAAUCAAGCUUAAAGGUGUUUACAGCAGGAAUGGGGGGGUGAAGAGAGAUUCAUUCAUUAAAUGUAACAUUAUAAAUUUAAUACAUGUGGAUAAUUUUUUUAUUUUUAAAAAACAUCUAUUUGUAACUUAAAAUUUAAAUUUUGUGCAUUUUCCAAAUUGCACUUUAUCGUUAAAGACAUAACUACAAUACCGUAUCUACUCGAGACGCUAGAAAUCCUCAUGAGCAAAACCUCCCACUUGAGCCAAAGGCUUAUAGAGAGCAGACUGCAACGUCAGCAAUGGAGAGCCAAAUAUGAGAGUCUAGUAACACUGAGAUGAGCUAAAAUUCCGCUGUAACUCACUAUUCAUGGAGAUGGAUUUCUGAGCUGAUAGUCUGUUUAAGGCCAGGUGAAAAUAUGCAAACUUUCUCUUCUUUUUGGCAAAGAAGAUGAUUGACACAAAACGUUUUUUUCUGUGUAGAAUGUGUUCUGGUCUGGCCACCACUUAGCCCCAGGUACCUUGCCACGAAACCAGCUCUGGUCUGCUGGCACUGAAGCAAACAUGAGCGCUGGGAGAGGAGUUACACAGCGUUGGGUUAGGAUCUAGCUACACUACACAUUCAAACUGUUAAGGGAAAAGUCAUUGGAUAACGUAAAGUGAAAAGAAACACAUCUCUAAUUAUAAAGGCAUGUACGGUUUCUUUGUGCCUUGAAUCUUUGCACAAUCAUUUCAAUCAACAAUUAAAUUCCUAUUUCCAUCCCCGAAGCCAUUACAACUGCUUUUUCCUGCCCCAUGUCUUGUCUGUAGACUGAUUUAGAGAAGGGUGCUAGAAAAGGUCUAGAGGAAAUAUUCAGACGAUUUAGAUUUUUUUAUCUACACUCACCUAAAGGAUAUACUUAUUUAUGAAAAAAGUAGUAAAAUUAAUUAUUGAUUUUAAAAAAAUAGCCAAGAGAAAUUUGUCUGGAAAGCAAAGGAUAAUGCUGACAAAUCAAAAAGAUUUUUAAAACUUUCAAAGAUCCUUUUAACUUGGAUAUACGUUUUAGUGUUUCACUGUCACUAAGCUUCUUUUCCAUCAGUGUGAUGUCUAAUACACAUUUGAAAUCAUAGCAUAUUUGUAUCUGAUUACAAAUCUUUUUAUGCGUUAAAAUGAACAUUGCAAAGAGAAAAAAGUCUUCAUUUACAAGUCUGAAUGGGAGUUACACAAAAGAUGCAGGCCAACAUAACAAUUUUUUUUCCAUUAUAUUUGGUGGCAUAGAGUUAAUAAGCUUAGACGCAAAUAACUACAACUCUUUUUAACAAAACAGAUUUCAACUGAAUAAACGCCUAAAUGUGAAGACUGAACUUUCUUAAGACACUUUAGAAAAGGUCGCCCCUAAGUCCUUUCUAACUACUAAUAGCUACUAAAGUCUAAUAGCACUAAAUAUUAAAGGGUUAAAAUAGGCAUAAAUUAACUUUAUUGUCAAUCAUUACAUACAGAAGAAUAAUUAACUCAGUAUGUUUAUUUAUCUACUUUUGCUACUUGAUUAAAUGAAUGAUUGAUGACAGGUUCCUUGUUUUCUUUUCUUCCUUUUUGUCAGUAUAAAUGAUCAGUAUGAAACUAAACGGUGACAUUAAAAUGAAAUCAUUAGCAAACUAAAAUGCAGGGCAACCUGCAUGUAAGAGCUUCUGUCUCCUUUACUACGGAGAAAUCUAAUCAGAUCCCUUCAUUCCCCAAACAGACAUAGAACAUAGUUUAGACAGACUUCCUAAUCAGGUGCUUUCCACUGUCCGUCUGCUAUGUCUAUAACUAUGCUAAAGGCCAUUUGUUUCUUUUAAAAUUAUUUUAAAUAAAGCUAACUUACAGCAUUCUGUGUUCACUGUUGGUGAAAUGUAUGAACUGUUUGGCGUUUGUGGCCUUAGUAAUACUAGUAGAAAUAUCAAGAAGUCCUUGAAGUAGACAGAGUCAAAAUUAAAAUAUCAAAUAAAUGAUCAAUGGUCACUUAAGUAAUUUGAUUGGUCUAGGAUUUGUCACAAUUUGAUAACAUUUGAAAAGGUUAUUAGUUCUAGUUCUUGGCAAAUCAGGUGACUAACUUUAGCAGCAAAGAUCCAUUGCACACAAUCAAUGUGGAUAUCAAGUCUGUCACACACACGGGAUGUAAGUGGCACACAAUAAAAUGAGAAGUUUUCCUCAGCCUCCACAUCCUCUAUCCAGUGCUAUAUGCCCUAGAAACCAAACUGACAUAUUAAGAUCUUUGAGAAACCUGGACUGAAAUAUCUGAUUUGGAUGGCUGCUCUUCUGAGCAUUGCUUAAUCGUUGUUUAAAAUGUUACCACUGUUGACAAUUUUGCCCUGCAAUUCUUUGAACAAGAUCAUGAAAUGUAGUACCCCAAAGGGAUAGUUUAGAUAGGGAGCAAAGAAGCAUCGGGGAAAAGAAUAUCAGAAGUAGAAGGAAGCCCAGAGGUGACUGCAGAACAAAGUCUGAGAACUCAGACUUCACUAACAUAUCAACAUUCCUUAAUCCCACAAGGAGUGAAGUUGGCAACAGACAUAAUUCAAAAGAGAGAACAAUGUACAGGGGGAGAACGAGUUGAGAAAAGAGCUAAUGAGAUGGGGAGAUUACAAACCUGCUACCGGCAAGUUGUCUCAUUGUGUCACAGUACAAUGUCACGCUGUUGAAAAACCAUGAAAAAAAUAUGGUGUGCUAUCAAAUUAAAACCUCAUAAUACAGCUUCAACUUAUAAAUAACUAUGAACGAGUAAAUGUGUGAAUAGUUUACGUCAAUAGAACAUGGUCUGCUGUAGGGAUGAGUUUCUCCAAGACAACUACACCCUCUUACUCCCCGGACGAUGGCCAAGCAAGCCGGUUAUGGCUAGAACAGAGUCUAGAAACUGAUUCCCAAUGUUUUCCUCCUUGUCGUGCAUUUACUGACAUGCUAACAAAAACAACGAUACUCAUAUCAGUGGGACCACGAUCUAAGCAACUGUUUACUUGCCAGUCUCAUUUAAUUUAUUUUUGCUAGAAUGCAAUUACCUAAUGGCUAGACACGAUGGUGUGGUUGCUAACUGCACACCAUGAUCUCUAUGGGAGUUUUACAUGAACUGUGACAUGCAUAACUUUAUAGAAAAUAACUUCAGUCUUUCUUGUUUUUUGCACAGAGGCUCAUAUUCAUGGAUUUGGGGCUCGUGGACUAGUGGUAUAUAUCAUAAGCCAAAUUGAAAGGCUUUCAAAUGGGUCAAUACACAAACAUGUAAGUUCAGUUUAACAAAGAGUCAUUGAACAUCCUUUAGUGUAUACUAUAAAGACUGAUAUGUUGAUUCUAUGAUUUGGAGAGAAUAAAAAAAUGCUCUUAAACCUCCAUAUCUGAACAACAAAAAAUGUGGACCCUUUAAACCUGUCAAGUAAUACCUGAUGUGAAUAAAGCAAUAGAAAUGCGAAAUGGAUCAUUUUGUGCCUCCCCAAAUUUUCCUCAAAUAUAUUGCCACUAGACACAAGUCAUUAAUACAACUUUAUUGUUUUAUUUCCAUAUAUUACUUUAAAAAGCUUAAAGAUUGAAAACAUGAAUGUAGACUAUAUUUUGGGGGGAACAUCACCAGCUAAUUCAUUGAAAGAACUCAGUUGGUACAAAAUGUGAAUUGCUACAGAAAUCUUUUAUCUAGAGAAUUUAUCAAAUAUAUAAAAAAAUAAUAUGAUUUUAUAAAUAAUUUAUCUUGGACUUUUAUUUCAAAAAGUACAUACUUCAACAAGGGGCCACAUAUUUAAAAAAAAAGCAGAAUUUUAAUUGUCACUAUAAAUCCCUAUUAAACUCAGGAAACAUUUGAAAAACACUUGAGUAUCAACUUGCAUGAUGAAGCAGGUCACCCUGAAUGACUAAUAUUAAAAAUAUAUGUUUUUUACUUGAGUAAAAGAAUCCAUAUUAGUAAUUCCUUACCACCAAAGUUAAUGCUUUUUCACUUAUACAUACGUAAAAUGUUAAAAUUUGAGGGGACAGCAUAUGGCUGGAUUGCAUUCUGUGUGAAGCAAAAAUAGUCCUGGUUUAAUGACACACAUAACUCCAUUUAACUGAGCAUUUUUCACACUAUUCAGAGUAUGAAAAGGUUGGGUUUGGGCGGGAGGUGGGGGUUGGUUGCACCCACAUGGAAGUUCCCCAGGCCAAGGAUCAAACAUGAGCCACAUCAGUGACAAUGCUCAAUCCUUAACCCAUUAGGGAACUCCAAAAAGACUGGAUUUUUAUUUCAUUUUAUUUUUAUUUAUUUAUUUUUGUAUUUUUGCUUUUUUUUUUUUUUUUUUUGGUCUU
ensembl:lncRNA